AAAUAACCACAAACCAAGUACUUCCCACAUGGGUGCCACGAAGCGAAAUAAUUUUGGCCCACGGCCUAUAUAGUGGGUUCAAUUCUCGCUAUGGAUCGACUCGGCAUGCAUGUGAAAAGAGUCAGUCAACGCUCUCCCAAAAGUCGUGGGUUCAUAGUUUCUCCUGGUGCUCCGGUUUUCUCCCACAAGGCAAAUUGACAGGGUGCAUGGG